rnacentral:lncRNA from 1 species
UCCUAGAGAAAACAAAACAAAACCUAACAAAACAGAAAUGAACCCUUGAUGAACCUCUUGCUCUGGACUGGUGCCCUGAAAAUGAAUGAAAUUGUUUUAAAGAUUACCAAGAAGAUAUAAAAUAUCAAAUGCGGCAUUAAUGUAAGAAUCCCCUGAAAACAUGCUGGUAUUUGAAAAUCCUGCAUUCCCAGGAAGGGUGUGCACAUGGAGGAUCCUGACGGUACCUGACUGUGUGCAGAUGCAGCAGCCCAAACUCUGACUCUGACCCUACUUCUGUAUCUUAAGCCCGGUAGAUCCCUUGCAACUAUAUGAUUCCUCUGUCAUCAGUUGGUGAUAAUGGUGCCAGAGAGGGCAGAAUUGUUUCAGAAUUCAGAGAGAGGAUGGCAUGUUAAAACUGGAAGAAAUAUUCUAGAUCAAGACCCUUAUUCAGUAGAUGAGGACAACGAAAGUAGAGAAACAGUGUGCCCGACCCAGGUCUGGCUUACUGAAAUUCCUGGUU